GUUUUCCCCAUCUCUUAGAAAAGCACGUAAACAUGUUAAAUGUUCAAUAUAAUUUGAUGUAUGGAUGAAAAGACAGAAAGACUGAUAACCUGUUCACAUAGAGCUUAGAAGCAAGGAUAGGUCCAGAUAAAGUGCUAAGUCCAGGAAAAGAGGCAGUUACAUCCAGGGGAGAUUGUAGGAAUGUAGAAGCACUGCUUCUAAAAAUGGAAUCCUCAGAUCUUGCACUGUUUAUGUUAACAAGGUUCAAGAGCAAAAACGGAACAAUGAAGUACAGUGGAAAAAACCCGAAUAGAGGUGUGCAAAACUGGAAUUUUCCCUGUUCUGAUUGUGGCAACUUGGUUAGGAGAUGUGUGCUGUCUUCUGGACUUCAUUGGCGUGGAUGAGAAAAGGAACACAAAAUUGACUCUCUUUCCUUUGCCCUCAUGAAAUUUCUAAGUUUAUCCUUGGAGUUGAGAAAUUUCACCAGGCUACCUCUGAGUAUGUAUCUUCUUUUCUUUAAUCACACCUGGCACCCUUGGCGGGCAUACUUAAAAACUCAACUCUUUCAGACAGCAUAAGUUCCCUAUUCCUGGUCUAUGUGUUUCCUCUAAUGGCUUUUUUGUUACUUCUCAGAAUGCCUAUUGUUCCCUGGAUUUGUUCUCCAUUUCUCUGUUCUCACUCUUGAGUUCCUGUUCUUCAGAGGGUUCUUUGGUGUUAUGCGAAUUCUUGACAUUUGAUUUCCAUUAGCUCAGCUUCAAGCAUUCUUUAUUUCCUAUUUUUCCACUGAAUAACUUAAAUUCAAAAAUCAUGUUUAAAAUGAAUUGUUACAUUUUUAUUCUAUAUUGUUAUCCUGUAAUAUCUUCUUCCCUUAAAAUUUUCAUUCUGCAAAAUAUAUAAUUUUUAAAAUCACUACUGAAUAAGAUGAAACAAAUUUAACUUCUGAAGGCACAUUUCUGAAAUCAAAUCUUCAUUUUGCCAAUUACUAACUUUACUUUUUAUCCUUGGACCAGUGUUUCACCCUUCAAGAAAUGGUUAUGAGAAUUAAAUGAAAGACUGAGAAGCAAAGCUUGGCUCACAUUAGAUUUUUAAUAAAUUGAGUUACUUGCAUUAAAGAAACUGAAAACUGCAGGAGAAAAUGUGUUUUACAUAAAAGUCCUUUAGCUAACAAUCUAGUAUAUUGAAUACCAUUCAUUAUUAUCAAGCACAAUGUCUUAAAAAAAUUGAAUGUAUCCAAUUCAGACAUUAGUUAUGUAUGGUCUUAAAGAACUGUGUAGGAUCUUAUGAAAAUUCUUUACUUUGUAAUUGAAGUAUAGUUGAUUUACAGUAUCAUAUUAGUUUCAGGUGUGCAACUUAAUGAUUCAGUAUUUUUACAGAUUAUACUCCAUUAAAAGUUAUUACAAGGCAAUGGCUAUAAUUCUCUGUGCAGUAAAAUAUAUCCCCAUUGCUUAUCUAUUUUAUACAUAGUAAUUUGUAUCUCUUAAUGCAAUACCCCUAACAUAUAUCUCCCCUCUAUCCUCUCCCCACUUGUAACCACUACUUUGUUCUCUGCAUCUGUGAAUCUGUUUCUGUUUUACUGUGAAUAUAAUGAAAAAUAUAAAUCAUUAUUCUUUUAUAUCUAGGCAUUAUUAUGAUAGUAGCCACCCAAUAUUAAGUAGUAAAGAAGCAAUGCAAGGUAGUUAAAACUUUACCUUGAAAUGCUUUUUAAAAAGCUUUAUCAUUCUUCAUUAAUUGUUAGAAUGAAAAAAAUAUAGCUUUUAAUUCUUUUCACUAUUAAUCUGUAAUAUUGGUUAUAUUCCUGUUCAUUUUCAAAAAGUAAAGAAAGCUAGAUACAGGGAAAAUCCUUGAGACCUAGUUAUGGUCCUGGCACCAGCUACCAUACAACAGUUUCUUAUUCUCUGCUGUCCCUCUUAACAUUUCUGAAACUGGUAUCCACUUAAAACAGAUGUGUGCAACUAAUGUAAAAUUAUCGCCUCUUGUCCCCAGUCCUCUGAAGAGCUGAUAGUAAGUAACUGGUGAGUAUUAUAAUUGAUGUAUCAGAGGUACUUUCACAGCCUAGUAAAUCACGAGUGAAUGACCUCUUCGUUAUACCCUGAAUAAUUUUUGUGUUUGCUUCCUUAUCUAAAAAAAUGGAGAUUAAAAAAGAUCUCAUCCUUCUGCCUAACAGUUGUAUUUCAAGGUGAACAAUGCAUUUCAAAAGUACUCUAUUACUAUAAGAGGUACUUCAUUAAAAUAUGUGUAUGCUAUGAUCUCCAAGAGCAACACCAAAGGAGCUGCAACUAUACAACUGCCUGAGUGCUUGACUUUCAGAGUGUAAUAACAUAAGGAGCAGUUGCUAUUGGUGGUUUCCCUUUCUCUUUAUGCCUGACAUUUCUGAAUUGUGACUCUUUCUGCCCAGGAGUUGCCCAUGGCAUGAAACAGGGCAGGAUUAGACUUCACUGAGUUAUAGAAAACAAUGCUCCAAACAAAUAUUUUUUUAAAAUAUGUGAGAUAAGUUGUAAUGACAAAACAGGAGUUUUGAGAUGGAGGUUAAAUGUUCUGUUAUGUUCUAGUGCAGUAGAAUAAAAUACAUGCCCCAUAUUCAAUACUUAAACAUUUGCUAUUAUAAAACAACUGUAUUUCCUGAUUUUUUUUUCUCUACUUUGAGACGAGAUUAAUGACUCAGUUAUCAGUAUAGCUUGUGGUUUUGAAGUUGAAAUGAGGCUAAAAUUUGUGCUUAGCAUUCUUAAAACACUUUUGCAAUAAAGCUAUAGCUACAAGAGAUAUUGUCAUGGAUUUUUCCCACAUAGUCCUUGAUAUUUUGGUUCAACAUUAGCAAAUUGCUCAAUGGGCAAGGAACUUGGGAUUUAUUUUUUCACUGCUAACAAAAAGUCUCCCAUUCUUAAACACAUAAAUGAACAACUAGGACUGUAAUCAUGAAUACUUACUUUUGGGAGUUCUUGAUGUGGCACAGCCAGUGAAAGAUCUGGCACUAUCCCUGCUAUGGCAUGGGUUCAAUCCCCAGCCUGGCACAGUGGGUUAAGGAUCCAG
rnacentral:lncRNA from 9 species